rnacentral:rRNA from 1 species
ACUCCUACGGGAGGCAGCAGUGGGGAAUAUUGGACAAUGGGCGAAAGCCUGAUCCAGCCAUGCCGCGUGUGUGAAGAAGGUCUUCGGAUUGUAAAGCACUUUAAGUUGGGAGGAAGGGUUGUAGAUUAAUACUCUGCAAUUUUGACGUUACCGACAGAAUAAGCACCGGCUAACUUCGUGCCAGCAGCCGCGGUAAU